rnacentral:sRNA from 1 species
GACUUCAAGCGCCAUGGCCGCUGCCUCUCGGGCCCGGGUCGCGUACUUGCUGAGGCAACUGCAACGCGCAGCGACCUACAAAACAUGGGUGCUAAAAAUGUGUGCUUGAUGACAGACAAGAACCUCUCCAAGCUCCCUCCUGUGCAAGUAGCUAUGGAUUCCCUAGUGAAGAAUGGCAUCCCCUUUACGGUUUAUGAUAAUGUGAGGGUGGAACCAACGGAUGCAAGCUUCAUGGAAGCUAUUGAGUUUGCCCAAAAGGGAGCUUUUGAUGCCUAUGUUGCUGUCGGUGGCGGCUCUACCAUGGACACCUGUAAGGCUGCUAAUCUGUAUGCAUCCAGCCCUCAUUCUGAUUUCCUAGAUUAUGUCAGUGCCCCCAUUGGCAAGGGAAAGCCUGUGUCUGUGCCUCUUAAGCCUCUGAUCGCAGUGCCAACUACCUCAGGAACCGGGAGUGAAACUACUGGGGUUGCCAUUUUUGACUAUGAACACUUGAAAGUAAAAAUUGGCAUCGCUUCCAGAGCCAUCAAACCCACACUGGGACUGAUUGAUCCCCUGCACACCCUCCACAUGCCUGCCCGAGUGGUCGCCAACAGUGGCUUUGAUGUGCUUUGCCAUGCCCUGGAGUCAUACACUACCCUGCCCUACCACCUGCGGAGCCCCUGCCCUUCAAAUCCCAUCACACGGCCUGCGUACCAGGGCAGCAACCCAAUCAGCGACAUUUGGGCUAUCCACGCGCUGCGGAUCGUGGCUAAGUAUCUGAAGAGGGCUGUCAGAAAUCCCGAUGAUCUUGAAGCAAGGUCUCAUAUGCAUUUGGCAAGUGCUUUUGCUGGCAUCGGCUUUGGAAAUGCUGGUGUUCAUCUGUGCCAUGGAAUGUCUUACCCAAUUUCAGGUUUAGUGAAGACAUAUAAAGCAAAGGAUUACAAUGUGGAUCACCCACUGGUGCCCCAUGGCCUUUCUGUGGUGCUCACGUCCCCAGCAGUGUUCACUUUCACGGCCCAGAUGUUUCCAGAGCGACACCUGGAGACGGCAGAAAUACUGGGAGCUGACACCCGCACUGCCAGGAUCCAAGAUGCAGGGCUGGUGUUGGCAGACACGCUCCGGAAAUUCUUAUUCGAUCUGGAUGUUGAUGAUGGCCUAGCAGCCGUUGGUUACUCCAAAGCUGAUAUCCCCGCACUAGUGAAAGGAACGCUGCCCCAGGAAAGAGUCACCAAGCUUGCACCCCGUCCCCAGUCAGAAGAGGAUCUGGCUGCUCUGUUUGAAGCUUCAAUGAAACUGUAUUAAUUGUCAUUUUAACUGAAAGAAUUACCACUGGCCAUUGUAGUGCUGAGAGCAAGAGCUGAUCUAGCUAGGGCUUUGUCUUUUCAUCUUUGCGCAUAAAUUACCUGUUACCAGUAUAGGUGGGAUAUACAUUUAUCUUGCAGGAAAUUCCCCAAAGCUCAGAGUCCAGUUCCUUCCAUAAAACA